UACGUAGGGUGCGAGCGUUAAUCGGAAUUACUGGGCGUAAAGCGUGCGCAGGCGGUUCGUUGUGUCGGCGGUGAAAGCCCCGGGCUCAACCUGGGAAUGGCCGUUGAAACUGGCGAACUGGAGUGUGGCAGAGGGGGGUGGAAUUCCGCGUGUAGCAGUGAAAUGCGUAGAGAUGCGGAGGAACACCGAUGGCGAAGGCAGCCCCCUGGGCUGACACUGACGCUCAGGCACGAAAGCGUGGGGAGCAAACCGG
rnacentral:rRNA from 1 species